AGUGAACGCUGGCGGUAGGCCUAACACAUGCAAGUCGAACGGCAGCACAGUAAGAGCUUGCUCUUACGGGUGGCGAGUGGCGGACGGGUGAGGAAUACAUCGGAAUCUACUUUUUCGUGGGGGAUAACGUAGGGAAACUUACGCUAAUACCGCAUACGACCUACGGGUGAAAGCAGGGGAUCUUCGGACCUUGCGCGAUUGAAUGAGCCGAUGUCGGAUUAGCUAGUUGGCGGGGUAAAGGCCCACCAAGGCGACGAUCGGUAGCUGGUCUGAGAGGAUGAUCAGCCACCCUGGAACUGGGACACGGUCCAGACUCCUACGGGAGGCAGCAGUGGGGAAUAUUGGACAAUGGGCGGAAGCCUGGUCCAGCCAUACCGCGUGGGUGAAGAAGGCCUUCGGGUUGUAAAGCCCUUUUGUUGGGAAAGAAAAGCAGCAGGUUAAUACCCCGCUGUUCUGACGGUACCCAAAGAAUAAGCACCGGCUAACUUCGUG
rnacentral:rRNA from 1 species